UGGGGAAUUUUGGACAAUGGGCGAAAGCCUGAUCCAGCAAUGCCGCGUGUGUGAAGAAGGCCUUCGGGUUGUAAAGCACUUUUGUCCGGAAAGAAAUCCUUGGCUCUAAUACAGUCGGGGGAUGACGGUACCGGAAGAAUAAGCACCGGCUAACUACGUGCCAGCAGCCGCGGUAAUACGUAGGGUGCAAGCGUUAAUCGGAAUUACUGGGCGCAAAGCGUGCGCAGGCGGUUUGCUAAGACCGAUGUGAAAUCCCCGGGCUCAACCUGGGAACUGCAUUGGUGACUGGCAGGCUAGAGUAUGGCAGAGGGGGGUAGAAUUCCACGUGUAGCAGUGAAAUGCGUAGAGAUGUGGAGGAAUACCGAUGGCGAAGGCAGCCCCCUGGGCCAAUACUGACGCUCAUGCACGAAAAGCGUGGGGGAGCAAAACAGGAUUAGAUACCCUGGUAGUCCACGCCCUAAAACGAUGUCAACUAGUUGUUGGGGAUUCAUUUCCUUAGUAACGUAGCUAACGCGUGAAGUUGACCGCCU
rnacentral:rRNA from 1 species